rnacentral:rRNA from 1 species
UACGAAGGGGGCUAGCGUUGUUCGGAAUUACUGGGCGUAAAGCGCACGUAGGCGGACAUUUAAGUCAGGGGUGAAAUCCCGGGGCUCAACCCCGGAACUGCCUUUGAUACUGGGUGUCUAGAGUAUGGAAGAGGUGAGUGGAAUUCCGAGUGUAGAGGUGAAAUUCGUAGAUAUUCGGAGGAACACCAGUGGCGAAGGCGGUUCUCUGGGAAUGUCCUGACGCUGAGGAGCGAAAGCGUGGGGAGCAAACAGG